rnacentral:rRNA from 1 species
AACCUGCCCUUGGGAGGGGAACAACAGCUGGAAACGGCUGCUAAUACCCCAUAGGCUGAGGAGCAAAAGGAGGAAUCCGCCCAAGGAGGGGCUCGCGUCUGAUUAGUUAGUUGGUGAGGCAAUGGCUUACCAAGGCGACGAUCAGUAGCUGGUCCGAGAGGAUGAUCAGCCACACUGGGACUGAGACACGGCCCAGACUCCUACGGGAGGCAGCAGUGGGGAAUUUUCCGCAAUGGGCGAAAGCCUGACGGAGCAAUGCCGCGUGAAGGCAGAAGGCCCCCGGGUCAUGAACUUCUUUUCUCGGAGAAGAAAAAAUGACGGUAUCUGACGAAUAAGCAUCGGCUAACUCUGUGCCAGCAGCC